UCAUUAUUUACUGUGUUAUUACCUGUAGAGAUAUAACAUACAUAUUAUUUAUUUUAGGUGAAAGAGCUUAUGAUCCUAAGCACUUCCAUAUUAGGGUCAGUAGAAUCAUGAUUGAUGAUCAUUAUGUCCCCACUCUACAGUAAGUUUUAUGCUAAGUUGACUAUCAGAAGAGGGCUAAAUAUAUUGGGCUUGGUUUUCUGAAAAUAUUUUAAUUUAACUAAAAAUAUUAAACUUGAAAUCAGUAAGAUGGUGGUAUUCUCCAAGGAAGUAAAUGAGUGGAUGACUCAAGAUCCUGAAAACAUCAUAGUGAUUCACUGUAAAGGAGGCAAAGUCUUAUAAAAUCUGCUUUAGGAGACAGAACUGGGCUUGAAGCCUUGUCUUUCAAAGACAAAAUCCAUGCAAGACCAAGUGUUGGAGCAGGCGAUGGAUAUGAUCUAAAAGUCAAAAUAGUGAUGGAGAAAAAGGUUGUCUUUUCCUGUACUUACUUAAGAAAUUGUUAGGUAUUUCAUGACACUGAAACAGAGCAAUAAUUGAUGUAUUCAACAGUCCACCUCUGUAUGAUGAUGUGAAAGUGCAAUUUUUCUCUUUGGUGAGUAAUCAAGAAACAGCCUCUGCCAUUGUUCUUGUCUGGUCUUUUGAAUGAUUUUAUUUAAGAUUUGCUUUACUACACUUCCCAACAAGGGAGAUGACAGAUGUCAUCCCACAGAGGGAGGGUGAGAAAAACAAUAAAUCAGAUUUAUAACAGA
rnacentral:lncRNA from 1 species